GACGAACGCUGGCGGCGUGCCUAAUACAUGCAAGUAGAACGCUGAAGAGAGGAGCUUGCUCUUCUUGGAUGAGUUGCGAACGGGUGAGUAACGCGUAGGUAACCUGCCUUGUAGCGGGGGAUAACUAUUGGAAACGAUAGCUAAUACCGCAUAACAAUGGAUGACACAUGUCAUUUAUUUGAAAGGGGCAAUUGCUCCACUACAAGAUGGACCUGCGUUGUAUUAGCUAGUAGGUGAGGUAAUGGCUCACCUAGGCGACGAUACAUAGCCGACCUGAGAGGGUGAUCGGCCACACUGGGACUGAGACACGGCCCAGACUCCUACGGGAGGCAGCAGUAGAGAAUCUUCGGCAAUGGGGGCAACCCUGACCGAGCAACGCCGAGUGAGUGAAGAAGGUUUUCGGAUCGUAAAGCUCUGUUGUAAGUCAAGAACGGGUGUGAGAGUGGAAAGUUCACACUGUGACGGUAGCUUACCAGAAAGGGACGGCUAACUACGUG
rnacentral:rRNA from 1 species